rnacentral:lncRNA from 1 species
UAACUUCUCCACAGACGCACACAAAGUCUCCUGUACACAUGCCUAGAGACACAAAAAUAAGUUAUGAAUAUCUGUAAAUUGUGAAAAGGAAAAGACAUUUUCUCCAUGGAAGUCUGAUUUUUAAAGUGCUUUAGAUACCGAAGGAGGUAGAUAAAAAUAAAAUAGAAGCCCCAAUCUCCCUCUUUUUGAAUCUAAUUAUAUAUUCCCUUUGAAUUAUGUUAUAUUUUCUCUUUGAAUCCAAAUUUUUAAGGGGAAAGAUAUUUUCCCUUUGGAAGUUUGAUAUUUAAAAUGUUUUAUAUAACCUGGAAGGUAGAUGGAAAAUAAAUGGGAACUCCAAUUCUCCCUCUAUUUGAAUCUGGUGAUUUUCACCUUUUUAGGACAUAGAAAAUAUCUACCUUUGUGGAAAAAUCUAGAAAAUUAUAUUCCUAUUGAUAUAUAUUUUUGUUAAACCAAAUAGAUGGAAAGUAGCAACUCUAUUUUUCUAGCCAUUUAAGAUAUUUGGUGUAAAACUAGAAACUUUGGACAUUUUUGGCAUUGCAUUUGUUUCUCAUUUUUUUUAUUUCUUAAACAAAAUUGCAUAAUUCAAAACAAGAUUAUAUGUUUGAUGUUAUUAUUUUUAUUUUUUAUUUUAAAAAUAUUUUUAGAAAAAAAUAUAAGAAAAAAAAUGUUUACUUUCAAUAUUUUUGAAACUGAGAAAUUUAUACUUCAUACUAUCACCCCCGACAUUGUCUCAAACACUAUCACAACCUCCUCUACCAUCACCACCUCCAUUAGCUUCAAAAUUAUCACCACCAACUACACCACCACCAUCUCCAUCGCCGCCACCACCACCUUUGCCACAUUAUCAUCAUCAUAAUAACCAUUUUCACUAUAUUGCCGGUAUCUCUACCAUAUCAUAUUGUUACUAUACCAACCUCUAUCAUAAUGUCACUACAAUCAAUGCUAUCUUUGCUAAAUUGCCAGUCUUACUACUAACACUAUAUCAUAAUAGUUGUCAUUAUCACCACCACCACUCCUCUACUAUGCUCCAAAUUUCACUGCUACUAUUGCCGCCACCACAUCACUAGUAAUAUUAUCACCAUCUCUACUAUACCACCACCACCAUCAGGCACCCUC